CUGGAUUUCCAGGGCUCGUCCAUCCCCAGCUCCAUGAAGAAGCUGGUGGUGACUAAGCUGAGCCAAAACUUCAGGGAAGCGCUCACUCUGCAGCAGGACGCGCCCGUGCCACUCCCGGGAGACGGAGACCUCCUUGUCAGGAACAGAUCUUCCAAAAAAACUUUAAAAAUGGACUGUGUACAAGAAGCUUACAUGAGUCUGCAUAGGGAAUUUUCACUGGGAAAAUUUACUGAAUCCUGCACAGUGCUGUAAUAACAAAUAAAGGUUUAGAAGGAGGAUGAGCUCUUGGCACCUAUUCUGCAGAACUGAGGCUGAUGUCUCUAAAAACCUCAAGAAAUGUCUCUGUUUACUACAAGACCAGACAGCACAUCAUAAAAACCCACCCUGCAGGCUUUCUUUAAGAGAAAGAGGAGGAAGUCUUUCUCUUCUGUCACAAGAGGGAGGUCAAAAGGACCAAGUGAGUGCCAGACCAAGUCACUUCUGCUGUUCUAGGGUUCAUUUUCAGAGAAAGUAGGCAGGCACACAAAUCUCAUUAUGCGUUACGAGGAUCUGUGCACAGGCUUCUUGUGCGCUGUCUUAAAACCAUACCCCUAAGGGACUCAUUCACAAAGGGAAUAGAAGGAAAGGAAUUUGUAUAUUUUCUGGAAGCAGUAAGACAUGACAUGCAGCACAGUUCUGGCUGAUUACAGCAUGCCUCAGGUGAGCUGGAAGGCACAAGGCCGCCAGCCAAGUGAUUUCAACCACCCAAGAAAGAGAACUCCACAGAAAUGCAUUGUGUGGCAUGUCUGAUUGCUACAAAGAAAAACACUCCAACUUUAUUCACAGUGGCAUAGCAUUAUUGGCAUGACUGUUCCUGGCAGCCUAUCAGAAAGUUUUAUUUGCAUCCAGAGUUUUGAAAGCCAUUUUAUAAUGUUAAACAAGAAUAAUGCCUGGCUUAUUUGCCCCUUGACACCUAUGUGUAAUCCCUCAUUGAAACCCUAAUGAGGGGUUCUCCUUGGGUUGUAUUACUUUCAAAAUAACCCCUGCAUACAAGCAGCCUAAUGUACCUUUCCUCCCUGCAUAGGGUGUGGCAAGAGUAGCCAGAUGAAAGUGGAUAAAAUACAUUGUUUUAUUGUAUGCUUAGUAAUCAAGAUGCAGAGUCAGUUAACUGGAUCCUAUGACUUCUUCCUGAGCUGGGAAACCUCAAUCUACUAUCACAAGUGCCUAGAAAUAAGAGAGAUGUUGAGUCGGUUUCCUCUCCAGGGAAUGUGAAUGAGUAACAAGAAUAACGCUCUUGAAACAGUGUAAAAACAGACUCUGAGGAGAACCUGGCUCUUAUUUCUGUAUGUAUGUUCAUGCUGCUGGAAAAAGCAGUUCUAACAGACCUGCCUAACCUCAAGUUGUAGUGAGAUUUCCCAGGGCCUCCAGAUAACUCCCAAAAUCUUGGGAAACUCAGUGUGUGUGUAGUCAGUGAUGCUGUAAGAGCUAUGGUGGCAGUGGCAUCAGCUUUGCAGUUUCUGAUGGUGGGUGGCAGCAAAGCAAGUCUUGCUCCAAAGGAACUUCUAAAAAGGCAACCCUCCAGUUCUCAGGUAUUAUUCUUCUCUAAAUGAAUUGGGCUGUGAAGGACAUCCUAUUUUAAAACAACAGCUCUUCCCCUCACUCCCAUAAGGCACAAGCCUGACUUGAUAGAUAUUUUUCCCUAUCCUUCUCCCUCUGUCUGUCUGGCUCCCUCUCUACUCCAAAUAAAAAAAUGAGGGGUGAAAUAAUCUUAGAGGGGAAGGCUGCUGAAAAUGUUUCAGGCUUUCCUCUUUUCAGGAGGGUAGGUCAAGUACCCUUGUCUUGUAAUGUGUAAACCUAACAAAGCAUACAGUUUCGCCCAUAAGCUCUGCAACAAAAUUUGACUAGAUUUAUGGCAAGUGUAUCCAGUUUCCAUUUUACCACAGAAACAGACAUAAUUUUUUAAAAAAUUGAUGAGAUCUUUUCUAGCUAGAUAGGGGGGAAAACCCCAAAACAACCCACCAAGGACUCUUUCCACCUAUGUGAUUUAAUUUGCGGUGUCUUUCUUUCUGUUAAUGGUACAAGUUAAUGUGAUGAGGCAACUUCUAUUGCAUUUCUUUCUUUCUUGUUUGUGAAAAGCUGACAUGCUCAGCAGUCACAAAAUACACAUCAUGGUGUGAAGGGUAAAGAGCCAAAUAUUCCUCCUUUUCCACAAAGUCGAAAUUGUAGAAGUAUAACACAGUCCAGCAGUGGUUCACAUGGGAUGAACCAGAAUCCUAAAAGGUUGUGGCAGGAUGUGGAUAAAAGAUGCUGUAGAGACAAGGGUUGUAUCUAGGAGGGGCAAAAAACUGUGUUGAUAGUGGUGUGUUCAGGUGACUGGAGGAAAACCAAAGUUUGUGUUUCACCUCAGAUGAGUUCAACAAGUAGCAACAGGCUUUUAUCCCCCCAAUGUAAGUCAGGUACAGUCUUAAAUCAAACAAAUGUGCUUCACAAAUAUACUGCAGUGAGCAUUACUGCCAGUGUCCUUGCUUUCUAGACUAUUUUCUUUGAUCUUUCUGGCAUUAUAUCACAUUUUCAACUAAUUAGAGACAAAUGCAAGGUGGGAAGAUGAUUGCUUCCAGAAAUAGUCAGAACUUUACUGGUCAUAUAUAUAUGGCAGCAGUAUCUCUUAAUGUUUUCAGUAAACAAAAUGUUAAUAGUGCCUUCAUAAUGGCUGGUGGGGAAUGAACCCAUUCAGGCUUAGAUUUUGUUGACGCUUCCCAGCAUAAUUUUGACAGAGUACAACUGACAUCCACGCUUAUCCAAAUGAUGGAAAACUUUCUUGGUCCUUGAAAACUAGCUAUACUGUACCAAAGGAAUAAAGAAAAAGGUACUGUUCAAGUGCUUUUCUGUCUACCACACAGUAAGUCAAAAGGUUGAACAGUCCCCAGUUCUGACAUUUGUACAUCAGGCAAAUUGCAGGAAGGUCUGAAAACAAGCGUAUUUGCACUAAGAACCCGUGUCACUCCAAGAAGAUACAAUUUCAGAGUGUUGUGAGUGAAUUAAUUCUCUUUCUUCAAUACUGUAUUUAAAAAUACCACCAACCCUAACACAGUUCUAUUCUUUGUCCCAGGGUUGCCCUGGUUCUGUGCCUGGCAGGCUGGCUUUGCUCUGAAGUGCACCAGCUCUCCGUACCUUGUAUAUUUUAAUGCCGACACUGAUCUUCAAUCAGCCUUGCUCUGGCCUUCCAGUGAAAAUACGCCAAAAUGUCAUAGGUUUCCAAAUGAAAUGCAAAUACUGAACUUUCUGAAAUUUACUGAUAGUAUUUUACUCCUUUACUGCAUCUGAGCUGUACCAACGAGGCACAACGGAAACAAGGGUUUAAGAUUUCUGACAGCAAAGGUCUUUGCACUUGCCGCUCCACAUGUGUCUCAGCUGGAUGGUCUGUGACACCUUGAUGAUCUUAAAGGUCUUUUCCAACCUAAAUGAUUCUACAGUUCUACCUCCCAUGAAGAAUAUGAGUCGUCUGCUUGCUCGCUCACUCAGCAUAAUGAAAAGAAGCGAUGAAAUACUCAAAGUCAGAGCCAUUUUCAUUGUGUAACACUGCUGCUCUAUGUUUGGUUACCUGUGUACAGAUCCAAGGAUAAAUUUUGGCCCUGACCAUGGAAUAUUUACUCACUUUCAAAUACGGAUGUGACCUGCCUUCUCCUUCUGCGACUAACAGGGUGACCAGAGGCAGUGGAAUGUACACCAGGGUUGGAAAGAAUAAAACCAGAGGGAAAGCAAGCUGUCAAGAGAACAGUGUACUGAAGAGGAAAAAUGUAAAGCGUGACUUCUAUUUACCAUGAUUAAUAUGUAAAGUUAACUUGUUUGUCAUGGAAUAUAUUAAUAUGUAUGUUUUCCCAUUA